rnacentral:sRNA from 1 species
ACCAGGACAACGGGCGUCGCCGGCGCCGUGUGACUUCGGGCUGUGGGCUCGCUCGCGGCUCUUCGGCCAUGGUUUUCUCAAACAAUGAUGAAGGCCUUAUUAACAAAAAGUUACCCAAAGAACUUCUGUUAAGGUAAGUGUAGAUAAAUUCUGGAUGAAGAGUUUAGAUCUGAUUUAGUCAUCAAGUUCCAAGACUAUCUUCUUUCUCACUAAUAUUUUCCUUCUUGGAUAUAGUAACUUUGUGCCGAUGUGCACAGAUUUCCAAGGCUUGGAACAUCUUAGCCCUGGAUGGAAGCAACUGGCAAAGAAUAGAUCUUUUUAACUUUCAAACAGAUGUAGAGGGUCGAGUGGUGGAAAAUAUCUCGAAGCGAUGCGGUGGAUUCCUGAGGAAGCUCAGCUUGCGAGGCUGCAUUGGUGUUGGGGAUUCCUCCUUGAAGACCUUUGCACAGAAUUGCCGAAACAUUGAACAUUUGAACCUCAAUGGAUGCACAAAAAUCACUGACAGCACGUGUUAUAGCCUUAGCAGAUUCUGUUCCAAGCUGAAACAUCUGGAUCUGACCUCCUGUGUGUCUAUUACAAACAGCUCCUUGAAGGGGAUCAGUGAGGGCUGCCGAAACCUGGAGUA